rnacentral:rRNA from 1 species
GCGGCUACUGCUAUCAGGUUUCGACUAAGCCAUGCGAGUCAAGGGGUCGUAAGACACCGGCGUACUGCUCAGUAACACGCGGACAAUCUACCCCCAGGUGGAGGAUAACCUCGGGAAACUGAGGCUAAUACCCCAUAGUUGUCAUGUGCUGGAAUGCUUUGACGAUGAAAGAAUUUCGCCUGAGGAUGAGUCUGCGGCCUAUCAGGUAGUAUGUGGUGUAAAGGACCUCAUAGCCUAAGACGGGUACGGGCCUUGAAAGAGGGAGCCCGGAGAUGGACUCUGAGACACUAGUCCAGGCCCUACGGGGCGCAGCAGGCGCGAAAACUGUGCAAUGCGCGCAAGCGCGACACGGGAAGCCUGAGUGCCUUAACUAUGUUAAGGCUUUUCUUGAUCCUAAAAAGCUCAAGGAAUAAGAGCUGGGUAAGACGGGUGCCAGCCGCCGCGGUAACACCCGCGGCUCGAGUGGUAGUCACUUUUAUUGAGCCUAAAGCGUUUGUAGCCGGAUUUGUAAAUCUCUAGGAAAAUACUUCUGCUUAACUGAAGAAAUUUUGGAGAGACUGCAAAUCUAGGGACCGGGUGAGGUUGAAUGUACUUCUGGGGUAGGGGUAAAAUCCUGUAAUCCUGGAAGGACGACCGGUGGCGAAGGCGUUCAACUAGAACGGAUCCGACGGUGAGGAACGAAGGCUAGGGGAGCAAACCGGAUUAGAUACCCGGGUAGUCCUAGCUGUAAACACUGCCCACUUGGUGUUGCAUCUCCGGUAAGGGGGUGCAGUGCCGUAGCGAAGGUGUUAAGUGGGCCGCUUGGGGAGUAUGGUCGCAAGGCUGAAACUUAA